CUUCGUUCUCAAGGCAGGCAGCUUCCCCAGAUCCCCUCUGGGACUGGAGAGGACGGAGAGCACACUUAUUCUGAAGUGGGCCAACGCUCCUCCGCCACACGUACUGACGAUGCCCUCUACGCCAUGGUAGGCAGAGCCGGGCAGACGGACACUCCGGCCCCUCCGGCCGUUCCUGCCAACACCCCAGCGCCCCCAGACCCAGACGGGGAUGUGGAAGGAGGGCUGCCCGAACCCGAGGCCCAGGUCGUGUCACCCCCUCACCCUCCGGAGACGGCAGAGUACGCCUGCGUCAGGAAGCUGAGGAAGGCCGACAAGGCCCCACAGAAGAGGGACAGUGGGACGGACAUGGGGGAGCCGCCGGCGCCGCCCCCACGACACGCCCCGCCAUCACAUCCUGCCCCUCCUCCGCCACACCCCCACAGCACAAAGUUGCCCCGUAGAAACGUGGAGGCCUUUAACGUCCCAUCAUUCCCAAAGGAAGUGAUGUUCAUGGGCAACGGAGAGCAGUACAUCUGGAAGCCUCCAGAGGAUGAGGACAUGCUCAUGCUGCAAAAUAAAGGCCUGGGUCCACUGGGUGCUCACACAGUGGAGACUGUACAACCGUCUGCUGCUGCGGUGGCGGAGAUGUACUCGAAGGUGUGUAAACCGGGAAAGAAGAAGAGAGCUGUGCCAGGGUCUCCUCCUGCCAAUCCUGGCUUCCGGACCUUGGGUCGUGGUGACCGGGACCGAGACCGGGAUGGAGGGUUUAGUGUAGUGGUCAAACCUCAGACCUGGGCCCCUCAGGAGGGCAAAGCAGUUGGAGGGCCCUUUGAUGACCACUGCUAUGAGUCCAUUGGGACAGAGGAGUGCGAUCUGGCCUAUGAGAACAUGGAAGGCGGGGGUGGCUGGAAGCGAGAGAGGCCCCCCAACACAUGUGCCACCCUGCGGCCGAGGAGGAAGAAAGCCCAGCAGCCCUUACAGCAGCAGCAGCCCCCUCCACCGCCGCCAACGCAGCAGACCCCCAAGUUACAGCACCUGCCUGCCAAAGCCCUGCUGCUGCCGGGGGAGAACCUGUACGAGAGCAUCGGCGACUUGAAGCAGGGCUCCGCCACGUCUAGCACCACCACCAUCUUCACUUUCAAUGACGGCAUGGAGAUGUAUGUAACAGGGCUCUGAGUCGGCGGCUGCACUGUGACCCCCUAUCCUUCCAACACAAGGAGCUGAGCUAACACCACACGGAGUGACGGCUGAGCCCCUGUCAUGCUCACCCACACAUACUGUUUACAUUCAAGUCAUAACAUCAUGCCUUUCACAGGCUCCAGAGGCCUUGGGGGCAAUAACGUUGAUCUGUUAUGACCUGGGCUGAGUAUAAAGUCCGAUCUAUAAACCUUAUAAAGAAUCCAAAGGUAGUCAAUAACAAGUGAGCACAAGACCAUUGCAGAGCAAUCUGUAGAUAAGAGUAGCACUUCUAUUUUACUGAUACACGUGCAAAGCACAAUAAAGUGAAAAAAGCCUAAAUUCUUCCUUAAUUCUUGCGGGUAAAAACAGUCAUUUAUCUGGUCCUAGAAGGACUCCUAUUUGGGGAAAAUGCACAGCAUUGUGUGAAAUCUUUUGGUAGCACUUAGUCAUGAACAGGCCUUCCCUGUAGUUGGUCAAGAUGUGAUUUAGGACAGAAUUUAAAUGAUAUAAAGGAAUGGAUUACUAAUCAAAAUACUUGAAAGCUCAGGGACCAAGUGAAUCAAUUAUGAGAGUAUUAAAACAAAAAAUUGCACACAUUUUGCAUUCCUCCUGAAAGCCUCGACUAAUUUAGACCAUUUUCAGAUUUCAAAGUAUUUCCCUCUGUCACGUUUUGUUUCAUCUUCCAUGGACUGAACACUGUCUCCACUGCCGUCUGUAAAUGAAAUGUUUUACUUUCUACUGUUGAUCCUGUUUCUGCACUUUGCCUGCUACAAGUUGCAUGCUAAAAAAGUGAUAAAAAUGAACAAAAAAUCAAGCUCUGUCAUGUGGUAACUCUAUAUGAAUGUUUUUCUUUUCUAUUGUCGUUGGUUGUUUUUUUUCUUUCUUCUUCUUCUUUUUUCUUUUGAUGUGCUGCUUUAUUUCUCUGUAGAGCACAAAGCCAGUUAGAUGAAGGAUGCCUUUGGCUCAGUGGGACUCUGUGCAGCAGAGAGGAGCGUUAAUUUUGUCUCCUCCUGUGCCUGCGACACACAGACAGACAGACAGACACACACACACACACGUACGCACACACACAUCCAAACACAUACAGUACAGAUUAAACAAGACUAAAGAGAACUGCUUGAGUCCUAAAGGUGGAGACAGUCCACUCAACCCCCUCUUCCCCGAAACCUCUGCCCUCCCCCACCCUUCACACCCUCCUCUGCUCAGUCCUCACUCAUCUGUGGACCAGUCAUCUACAGCAGAACUGAUGUGUAUUAGCAAACGUCAUGUCUCAUCAUCACUCCAUCGGUGAACACUCUCUCCUCUCUCUGUUAUCAGUGUUAAAAAUAUUUGAAACGACAAAAAUGUGAAGCAAUGGGUUCGCUAAGCAGCAGAGCAUCAGCGCGAGGAUGAAACACAACAAAAUUACAUUAAAAUCCUGGACGAUAUAACGACGAGUUCAUUUGACCAAAUAUCCCCAGCAAACAAUGUGAUUAUACUGUAUGUUGAUGCAAUGUGUAUGUACAUUACAAAAGAGAAAGAAUAAUAAAUAUAUCAUCAGUGUCAAGAAAUCUAUCUUUUUCUAUUAUGUUUAAUUGUGUUUUGGAAUGACUUAUCUUGUGACACAAACUGCGAAACAGCUGCAAUGUAAAUUUCAGUGUAUUCUGUUUGUUGUUUUUGAAGCCAUGAAGCUACGGUGUGUUCUCGGAAAAGCCCAGCUAAGUUAAAUGUGGCAGCUAAUGUUGUGUGUUUGCUAUUCAGACUACAGGGUCUUGUACUCAAAAGCGUGUAAUUAAGUGCUAAGUGCAAAAGAUUGUAAUGUUUUAUAUUAAGAUUACUAUUCAUGAAAUGUCAGUCAAGUUUAUACUUUUGUAAUAAAGUGGC
ensembl:lncRNA